UACGAAGGGGGCUAGCGUUGUUCGGAAUUACUGGGCGUAAAGCGCACGUAGGCGGUUUUGUUAGUCAGGGGUGAAAUCCCGGGGCUCAACCUCGGAACUGCCUUUGAUACUGCAAGUCUCGAGUCCGGAAGAGGUGGGUGGAAUUCCUAGUGUAGAGGUGAAAUUCGUAGAUAUUAGGAAGAACACCAGUGGCGAAGGCGGCCCACUGGUCCGGUACGGACGCUGAGGUGCGAAAGCGUGGGGAGCAAACAGG
rnacentral:rRNA from 1 species